UACGUAGGGUGCAAGCGUUAAUCGGAAUUACUGGGCGUAAAGCGUGCGUAGGUGGUUUGUUAAGUCUGAUGUGAAAGCCCUGGGCUCAACCUGGGAACGGCAUUGGAAACUGGCUUACUAGAGUGCGGUAGAGGGGUGUGGAAUUCCCGGUGUAGCAGUGAAAUGCGUAGAUAUCGGGAGGAACAUGUGUGGGGAAGGCGACACCCUGGAACAGCACUGACACUGAGGCACGAAAGCGUGGGGAGCAAACAGG
rnacentral:rRNA from 1 species